rnacentral:misc_RNA from 1 species
GAUGAAGAACGCAGCGAAAUGCGAUACGUAAUGUGAAUUGCAAAUUCAGUGAAUCAUCGAGUCUUUGAACGCACAUUGCGCCCCCUGGUAUUCCGGGGGCAUGCCUGUCCGAGCGUCAUUGCUGCCCUCAAGCACGGCUUGUGUGUUGGGCCCCGUCCUCCGAUCCCGGGGGACGGGCCCGAAAGGCAGCGGCGGCACCGCGUCCGGUCCUCGAGCGUAUGGGGCUUUGUCACCCGCUCUGUAGGCCCGGCCGGCGCUUGCCGAUCAACCCAAAUUUUUUAUCCAGGUUGACCUCGGAUCAGGUAGGGAUACCCGCUGAACUUAAGCAUAUCAUAAGCGGAGGA